GUGGGUGUAGUUCAAUUGGUUAGAGCGCCAGACUGUGGAUCUGGAAGUUGUGGGUUCAAGUCCCAUCACCCACCCA
rnacentral:tRNA from 1 species